rnacentral:rRNA from 1 species
AUUGAACGCUGGCGGCAGGCCUAACACAUGCAAGUUGGACGGUAGCACAGAGAGCUUGCUCUUGGGUGACGAGUGGCGGACGGGUGAGUAAUGUCUGGGGAUCUGCCCGAUAGAGGGGGAUAACCACUGGAAACGGUGGCUAAUACCGCAUAACGUCGCGAGACCAAAGAGGGGGACCUUCGGGCCUCUCACUAUCGGAUGAACCCAGAUGGGAUUAGCUAGUAGGCGGGGUAACGGCCCACCUAGGCGACGAUCCCUAGCUGGUCUGAGAGGAUGACCAGCCACACUGGAACUGAGACACGGUCCAGACUCCUACGGGAGGCAGCAGUGGGGAAUAUUGCACAAUGGGCGCAAGCCUGAUGCAGCCAUGCCGCGUGUAUGAAGAAGGCCUUCGGGUUGUAAAGUACUUUCAGCGGGGAGGAAGGCGAUGUGGUUAAUAACCGCAUUGAUUGACGUUACCCGCAGGAGAAGCACCGGCUAACUCCGUGCCAGCCGCCGCCGUAA